rnacentral:rRNA from 1 species
CUGCCCGGUGAUUAAAAUUUAACGGCUGCGGUACCCUGACCGUACAAAGGUAGCAUAAUCAUUUGUUCUAUAAUUGAGAACUAGUAUGAAUGGUUCGACAAGGGUAAUGCUGUCUCCAUAAAAAUUUUUAGAAUUUAUUUUUUAGGUGAAGAAACCUAAAUAAAAUUAAAAGACAAGAAGACCCUAUUGAGCUUUAAAUCUAUUUAUAAAAUAAAGAAAUGUAAUAAUAUUUUUAGUUAUAAAAAAUUUUGGUUGGGGCGACUAAGGAACAAAAAAAACUUCUUUAUAAAACUUAAAUUUAUAAAUUAUGAUCCAUUAUUAUAAUGAUUAAAAGAAUUAGUUACCAUAGGGAUAACAGCAUAAUCCUUUUUGAGAGUUCAUAUCGAAAAAAGGGUUUGUGACCUCGAUGUUGGACUAGAAUAUCCCGAAAGAUGCAGAAGUCUUCAAAGGUUGGUCUGUUCGA